AUUAUUGUAACAAUCAAUUUUAAUCUAAAUAAUACCCAUAUUAUCAUUCUCUCUCGCACUGCAUACAACUAACCAUUCUUGAUUUCUUUCAUGGGGAGCAUAAUGAAAGGUGCACAUAUACUAAUAUUCCCAUUUCCAGCACAAGGUCAUAUGCUUCCACUACUAGACUUGACACACCACUUAGCAACCCAUGGGCUAACCAUAACCAUCUUGGUCACACCCAAAAACCUACCAAUUUUGAACCCACUUCUAGCUUCAUGUCCCAACAUCCAACCACUGGUCUUCCCUUUUCCUGACCACCCUUCACUUCCAAAAGGUGUUGAAAAUGUUAAAGAUAUAGGAAACCAUGGAAACUUACAUAUAAUCAACUCACUUGCCAAACUUCAAGAAACAAUAAUCCAGUGGUUCAACUCCCACCCUAGUCCUCCUGUUGCCAUGAUUUCAGAUUUUUUUCUUGGAUGGACUCAACACCUUGCUAACAAACUGGGUAUCCCCCGGGUCGGGUUUUUUUCAUCUGGUGCUUUCUUGACUGCUGUUCUUGACUAUGUUUGUCAUAAUAUCAAGUUGGUUCAGUCUCAAGAUGUGACUGUUUUUCAUGACUUGCCAAAUGGGCCUGCUUUAAAAUGGGAGGAGCUUCCUACACUGGCCCGGGUGUAUAAAGAAUCUGACCCGGAAUGGGAGUUGGUUCUUGAUGGUCAUAUUGUUGGGAGGUCUAGUUGGGGUUCGAUUGUGAAUACUUUUUAUGGAUUGGAGACUCAAUAUAUGGAGUAUUUGACCAAAAUAAUGGGUCAUGGGCGAGUUUUUGGAGUUGGUCCGGUUAGUUUGCUUAAUGGGUCGGAUCCAAUGACCCGUGGGAAAUCGGAGUCCGGGUCCGAUUAUGAUGUGCUGAGAUGGCUUGAUUCGAGGCCUGAUGGGUCGGUUUUGUAUGUGUGUUUUGGAAGCCAAAAGUUUCUUAGUAAGGCCCAAAUGGAGGCAUUGGCUAUUGGGCUUGAGGAGAGUGGGGUCCAUUAUGUUUGGGUGGUGAAACAAGAGUUAGGUGACCCGGUUGUUUCGGGAUCGGGUAGAGGAAUGGUGAUAAAUGGUUGGGCCCCACAGGUGUCGAUAUUGGGUCAUCAAGCAGUGGCUGGAUUUUUGAGUCAUUGUGGAUGGAACUCGGUUUUGGAAGCUAUUGUGGGUGGAGUGAAGAUAUUGGCAUGGCCUAUGGAGGCUGACCAAUACGUUAAUGCUAGGUUGUUGGUAGACGACCAUGGUGCGGCGGUGCGAGUUUGUGAAGGGGCGAAUACCGUACCCGACUCGGCCGAGUUGGCUCGUAAAAUCGGCGAGUCAAUGAGUGGGUCUGAGAAUAAUAAGAAAAUGAGAGCAAAAGAGCUUAAAGAUAAAGCAAUUGAAGCAGUCAAGGAAGGUGGGAGCUCAUUUAUGGAAUUGGACAGGCUUGUCAACGCGUUAUCCAACUUGGAACAAAAAUUGGAUGUUCCUCAUUAGCAUUUGAUCUGAAGAGCAAAUUAUGUUAUGGCUAAAACAUGUAACGAGAAUCGAAGUGGUGAUGGAAAAUUCAAAGCACACAUUUGGAGCGGCUUCUUGAUACCCACCAAAGACUUUCCCAAGUGCCCAAUACCCCGCCUACGCAGACAUAUGUGGACGCUUUAGGGACACGAUCGGGACAUACUCGUGUGGUUGGGCGUGUGGUUAGGGGAACACGUGGACUGAAUGUCCCCCUCCCAGAGGAUAUAGAGCAACCCUUCCCAGCUCAGCAGUCACCGUCCUUUAACGUCAAUGAUAUGUUCGCCCAGGGUAGCCCUUGGACCCAGUCAUCAUUCAAAGACGGACCUAGCACAUCAUCAUCCCAUGCUGGGCCUAGCACGUCACCGGCCCCCACACAGCGGUUGGGUAGUGAUAGUGAUAGUGAUAGUGAUAGUGAUAGUGAUAGUGAUAGUGAUAGUGAUGAUGAAAGUGAUUAGUUUUCCUUUUUUUUAUUGUUUGUAUUCAUCGUUUAACUGAAGUGUGAUUUCCUUUUGUAAUCUUGAUUUGCGUGAAAUUUUCACUUGUAUUUUUUAUGUUUU